rnacentral:rRNA from 1 species
AAUCAACGCUGGCGGCGUGCCUCAGACAUGCAAGUCGAACGAUUAAGACUUCCUUCGGGAAGUGCAUAAAGUGGCGCACGGGUGAGUAACACGUAAGUAAUCUACCCUCGAGUGGGGAAUAACGUUCGGAAACGGACGCUAAUACCGCAUAAUGCAGCGGCAUCGCAAGAUGACAGUUGUUAAAGGAGUAAUUCGCUUGAGGAGGAGCUUGCGGCAGAUUAGCUAGUUGGUAAGGUAACGGCUUACCAAGGCUACGAUCUGUAUCCGGUCUAAGAGGACGGUCGGACACACUGACACUGAAUAACGGGUCAGACUCCUACGGGAGGCAGCAGUCGGGAAUUUUGGGCAAUGGGCGAAAGCCUGACCCAGCAACGCCGCGUGAAGGGUGAAGUAUUUCGGUAUGUAAACUUCGAAAGAAUGGGAAGAAUAAAUGACGGUACCAUUUAUAAGCUCCGGCUAACUACGUGCCAGCCGCCGCCGUAACAC